rnacentral:rRNA from 1 species
UUACAGGCUUAACACAUGCAAGUCGAGGGGCAGCAUGGUCUUAUCUUGCUAAGGCCGAUGGCGACCGGCGCACGGGUGAGUAACGCGUAUCCAACCUGCCGUCUACUCUUGGACAGCCUUCUGAAAGGAAGAUUAAUACAAGAUGGCAUCAUGAGUCCGCAUGUUCACAUGAUUAAAGGUAUUCCGGUAGACGAUGGGGAUGCGUUCCAUUAGAUAGUAGGCGGGGUAACGGCCCACCUAGUCUUCGAUGGAUAGGGGUUCUGAGAGGAAGGUCCCCCACAUUGGAACUGAGACACGGUCCAAACUCCUACGGGAGGCAGCAGUGAGGAAUAUUGGUCAAUGGGCGAGAGCCUGAACCAGCCAAGUAGCGUGAAGGAUGACUGCCCUAUGGGUUGUAAACUUCUUUUAUAAAGGAAUAAAGUCGGGUAUGGAUACCCGUUUGCAUGUACUUUAUGAAUAAGGAUCGGCUAACUCCGUGCCAGCAGCCGCGGUAAUACGGAGGAUCCGAGCGUUAUCCGGAUUUAUUGGGUUUAAAGGGAGCGUAGAUGGAUGUUUAAGUCAGUUGUGAAAGUUUGCGGCUCAACCGUAAAAUUGCAGUUGAUACUGGAUAGCUUGAGUGCAGUUGAGGCAGGCGGAAUUCGUGGUGUAGCGGUGAAAUGCUUAGAUAUCACGAAGAACUCCGAUUGCGAAGGCAGCCUGCUAAGCUGCAACUGACAUUGAGGCUCGAAAGUGUGGGUAUCAAACAGGAUUAGAUACCCUGGUAGUCCACACGGUAAACGAUGAAUACUCGCUGUUUGCGAUAUACUGCAAGCGGCCAAGCGAAAGCGUUAAGUAUUCCACCUGGGGAGUACGCCGGCAACGGUGAAACUCAAAGGAAUUGACGGGGGCCCGCACAAGCGGAGGAACAUGUGGUUUAAUUCGAUGAUACGCGAGGAACCUUACCCGGGCUUAAAUUGCAGAUGAAUUACGGUGAAAGCCGUAAGCCGCAAGGCAUCUGUGAAGGUGCUGCAUGGUUGUCGUCAGCUCGUGCCGUGAGGUGUCGGCUUAAGUGCCAUAACGAGCGCAACCCUUGUUGUCAGUUACUAACAGGUUCCGCUGAGGACUCUGACAAGACUGCCAUCGUAAGAUGUGAGGAAGGUGGGGAUGACGUCAAAUCAGCACGGCCCUUACGUCCGGGGCUACACACGUGUUACAAUGGGGGGUACAGAGGGCCGCUACCACGCGAGUGGAUGCCAAUCCCCAAAACCUCUCUCAGUUCGGACUGGAGUCUGCAACCCGACUCCACGAAGCUGGAUUCGCUAGUAAUCGCGCAUCAGCCACGGCGCGGUGAAUACGUUCCCGGGCCUUGUACACACCGCCCGUCAAGCCAUGGGAGCCGGGGGUACCUGAAGUGCGUAACCGCGAGGAGCGCCCUAGGGUAAAACUGGUGACUGGGGC